UACGGAGGGUGCAGGCGUUAAUCGGAAUUACUGGGCGUAAAGCGCACGUAGGUGGUUUACUAAGCCAGCUGUGAAAUCCCCGGGCUCAACCUGGGCACUGCAGUUGGAACUGGUAAGCUAGAGUAUGGUAGAGGGGUGUGGAAUUCCAGGUGUAGCGGUGAAAUGCGUAGAUAUCGCUUGGAACGCCGACGGCGAAAGCAGUCUGCUGGGGGUGUGCUGACGCUGAGACACGAAAGCCAGGGGAGCGAACGGG
rnacentral:rRNA from 1 species